GACGUAGGGCGCGAGCGUUUGUCCGGAUUUAUUGGGCGUAAAGAGCUCGUAGGCGGCUUGUCGCGUCGACUGUGAAAUCCCGCGGCUCAACUGCGGGUCUGCAGUCGAUACGGGCAGGCUAGAGUUCGGUAGGGGAGACGUGGAAUUCCUGGUGUAGCGGUGAAAUGCGCAGAUAUCAGGAGGAACACCGAUGGCGAAGGCAGGUCUGCUGGGCGAUUAACUGACGCUGGAGGAGCGAAAGCAUGGGGAGCGAACAGG
rnacentral:rRNA from 1 species